CCAUGGCACGGGGAGGGCUAAAGGCCUUGGGGACGGCUACCCAGGGUGGUCCUGUGCCCACUACCUGCACCCUCCUGGGUCUGGAACGGAUGACUCUCAAAGAAUUGACAAACACACCGCGGAAGUUUGGGAGGCUGAGGGUAGUGGGAUGGGAUUGGAAUGUCCGGCCCAGAGGUUAGGGACACCUGCUCAAUUCGACGACAGGAGGCUGGGCCUGCUGGGGACACCUGUAGCCUGCAGGCGUCCUCCCUGGCCCUUAGCCCUACCCAGAAGCAGACUGGAAGAUGCGGGCACUGUGCCCUUUUGAAGGCCACCUCCCCUCCUGCUGGCCAAGAGCCUCCUUGCCGCUGGGGCAGGGCCAGGCAUCCCCCACUCUUGUUUCUAGACAAGCUGUGAUUGUGCCUGGCUCCAAGGCCUGGAUUUCUUCCUCCCUUUUCUCUCCACCCUUCAGCGGGCCUCCGGCACGCCUUUUGCCCUGUAGGGGUGCAGGGAGCUCUGGACUGUGAAGGAGACCCGCCACGGUUGGUUGAGCACAGACUGAGUGCCAGGCCCUGAGCUAAGUGUUUGCCAAGUCUUUACUCAGGUCCUCAAGGGAAGCUGAAGUUGCCUGUUUGUUCUGGGAGGUAGCCCCCACCUCCCACACCUCCACACACAUUCCAGGCGCUCAGAUGUGUAUGGAAACUGGGUGAGAACUUGGACCUGCCCUUUAAGGACUCUAAUCCAAGCAAUAAGGAUACAAACAUCCAGACCGAGGCCCCUAGAUUCAGUGUUUCUGGGAAUACCAACCAUGGAUGCGUUGCCAUAAACUCGGAGCUUUGUUGCUACAGCGAUUCCAAACCCACCAAGCCAUCAACGAAGAUCGAGCCAUCACAAUUGCCAGUAGGGUGAGGAGCAAGUGAGGCCUCAGGACAGGGUGAAAAACGACUUCCACAGUUCCCAUUCCACAGACUCUUCUGAGGUUCACCGCACCUUUCCUUGAAUCUUUGCUGAUACUGGCACCAGUGGUUGGCAACAAUGGGAGCCUGGCUCCACAUGGAUCAAAGAAAGGGAAGGAAGUAGUGGCAUGUUGGGACUUCCUGGUGAGUGUGCUGCUUAAACCACCUGGUUCUGGCUUAGGCUAACUCAGCAUUCCAAUGUCGACUAGACACAGCAGGUGCUUUAAAAAUUAACUUCGGUUUGAUUUUUUGUUUUGGUUUUUUUGUUGUUGGUUUUUUUGUUUGU